GUACUGCGAUUGGCAAAAUUCCACCGCUCCCGGUUGAUUUUCUCCAAUCAGGGCCACAGGGGUGGUCUAUCUGCCUGUCAAUCACUGCUCAGGCACGUACACACAUAUAUAGUGUUCUUCCCUCCCAGCGCACGAGCUGCAGAAAAGUUUCCCAAAACUCCGGUGGUGAAGUGGCUUUUCAGAGGUGGUUUGAGCUCCGGGAUUUUAAAGAUCUGAAGAACGAUGCAGACGUAGCCAUGUUUCCUCUCAACAGCAGAGGGCCUCAGACUGUCCAAGCUGUCCCCCAUCACCUUCCUGCCCCCCAUUCACCAGCCCUUCACCUGUUCCCCUCAUCAGCCUGCAGUCCCCUGACUCACCUGCAUCUCAUUCUCUCAUCAGACUCUCAUUCUCUGCCAGACCAGAGUUGCUGUGUUGCUUUCUUGCAGGCUUCCCGAGGGUGAUCGGUGCCGUAGAUUGCACCCAUAUCCCCCUUUGCUGCAUCGAUGGGGGAGACUGAAGUCCUUCCACAGCAUCAACGUUCAGAUGACUUGUGACCAAUCAAUGGUUGGUUACCAGCAUUGAGGCAAAGUGGCCUGGGUCAGUCCAUGACUCCCGGAUCUUUAGGGAGUCUGCACUGUGCCACAGAUUCGAGCAAGGGCUGUUCAGUGGAUUGCCUGUAGGGGACCGAGGGUACGCCAGCCAGCCCUUUUUGAUGACCCCCUAUCCUGACCCAAACACAGGGCCACAGAAUGCCUUUAAUGUGGCCCUUAGCAGAACAAGGGUCAGAAUAUAGAUGACUUUUGGCAUCAUUAAAACCCGCUGUACCUGCCUGCGUGGCCUCCGAGUGGCCCCAGACCUUUUGUCUUUGGCUUUUCAAAUACUGACAGCCUCCACAAUGUGGCCUCGAUUAGGAAGGAGACCUGAUUAAUGGAGUGAUAAAAAAGAAAUAUCCAAAGUGCCCUCUGUAAAAUCUUUGGACUCUAAUAUGUUGACAAAUGAAACAAGGAUUUCCAUUCAGUCUUAUGCCAAUGUUCUGAUUUCCAUCCUGGAAAUGUAAAUUAAAUCAUAUUUUACUGCUUGCUUAUUUAAACAGAAAUUUACAAGAAACUAGUAAUAAAAACAAUAUUUGACUUAAUAUUAGUUAUCAACUGGGGAGGUUUCAUGUUGAUAUGUUAUCCCUAUUCACUGGGGUGUCUCCCCUUAAGCCCUUUCUGUUGUUCUUGGGACCUGACCCAUUGUCUAAUAAUUUCCAAAUCAGAACUUUGGGUUUCAAAUUUCAAUUUUGAUGUUGUUUUUUUUCACUUCUAUAGCAUUUUUAAAAAACAACAAAUAGGAAAUUGAAAAACAAUUGUUGAAAAGAUUCAAAGGCACAACAAAAAAUCUUUGGGACAAGCCACAAAAAUGUAGAAAAAGACCAAAACGUAGAAAAAAAGUUGACAAAAUGUGUCCUCAUGUGUUCUCCCUCUCCUAGGAACACAGAAAAAGAAUGUCAGUGUAACUGUAAGUUUAGUAUCAUUCAUUCAUGUACUACCUACUUCUCAUAUUCCAGUUUUUCAAUCUCCAGCCUUGUUUUUUUUUUAUUAAAAGCGUCUUGUACUGUAUAUCGAGCUCCAGGGUUCUUUUGUAUAGGGCCCUCACAUUGUCUGCUCCAACCUGAAACAAAUAAAGAACAUUGUCCCUUUGAAAGGCACACUUGGAGAAAGUU